rnacentral:rRNA from 1 species
UCUGAUGUUAGCGGCGGACGGGUGAGUAACACGUGGAUAACCUACCUAUAAGACUGGGAUAACUUCGGGAAACCGGAGCUAAUACCGGAUAAUAUUUUGAACCGCAUGGUUCAAAAGUGAAAGACGGUCUUGCUGUCACUUAUAGAUGGAUCCGCGCUGCAUUAGCUAGUUGGUAAGGUAACGGCUUACCAAGGCAACGAUGCAUAGCCGACCUGAGAGGGUGAUCGGCCACACUGGAACUGAGACACGGUCCAGACUCCUACGGGAGGCAGCAGUAGGGAAUCUUCCGCAAUGGGCGAAAGCCUGACGGAGCAACGCCGCGUGAGUGAUGAAGGUCUUCGGAUCGUAAAACUCUGUUAUUAGGGAAGAACAUAUGUGUAAGUAACUGUGCACAUCUUGACGGUACCUAAUCAGAAAGCCACGGCUAACUACGUGCCAGCAGCCGCGGUAAUACGUAGGUGGCAAGCGUUAUCCGGAAUUAUUGGGCGUAAAGCGCGCGUAGGCGGUUUUUUAAGUCUGAUGUGAAAGCCCACGGCUCAACCGUGGAGGGUCAUUGGAAACUGGAAAACUUGAGUGCAGAAGAGGAAAGUGGAAUUCCAUGUGUAGCGGUGAAAUGCGCAGAGAUAUGGAGGAACACCAGUGGCGAAGGCGACUUUCUGGUCUGUAACUGACGCUGAUGUGCGAAAGCGUGGGGAUCAAACAGGAUUAGAUACCCUGGUAGUCCACGCCGUAAACGAUGAGUGCUAAGUGUUAGGGGGUUUCCGCCCCUUAGUGCUGCAGCUAACGCAUUAAGCACUCCGCCUGGGGAGUACGACCGCAAGGUUGAAACUCAAAGGAAUUGACGGGGACCCGCACAAGCGGUGGAGCAUGUGGUUUAAUUCGAAGCAACGCGAAGAACCUUACCAAAUCUUGACAUCCUUUGACAACUCUAGAGAUAGAGCUUUCCCCUUCGGGGGACAAAGUGACAGGUGGUGCAUGGUUGUCGUCAGCUCGUGUCGUGAGAUGUUGGGUUAAGUCCCGCAACGAGCGCAACCCUUAAGCUUAGUUGCCAUCAUUAAGUUGGGCACUCUAAGUUGACUGCCGGUGACAAACCGGAGGAAGGUGGGGAUGACGUCAAAUCAUCAUGCCCCUUAUGAUUUGGGCUACACACGUGCUACAAUGGACAAUACAAAGGGCAGCGAAACCGCGAGGUCAAGCAAAUCCCAUAAAGUUGUUCUCAGUUCGGAUUGUAGUCUGCAACUCGACUACAUGAAGCUGGAAUCGCUAGUAAUCGUAGAUCAGCAUGCUACGGUGAAUACGUUCCCGGGUCUUGUACACACCGCCCGUCACACCACGAGAGUUUGUAACACCCGAAGCCGGUGGA